GACGAACGCUGGCGGCGUGCUUAACACAUGCAAGUCGAGCGGUAAGGCCCUUUCGGGGGUACACGAGCGGCGAACGGGUGAGUAACACGUGGGUGACCUGCCCUCAGCUCUGGGAUAAGCCCGGGAAACUGGGUCUAAUACCGGAUAUGACUUCAUGACGCAUGUUGUGGAGUGGAAAGCCUUGUGCGGCUGAGGAUGGGCCCGCGGCCUAUCAGCUUGUUGGUGGGGUGANGGCCUACCAAGGCGACGACGGGUAGCCGGCCUGAGAGGGCGACCGGCCACACUGGGACUGAGACACGGCCCAGACUCCUACGGGAGGCAGCAGGUGGGGAAUCUUGCGCAAUGGGCGAAAGCCUGACGCAGCGACGCCGCGUGAGGGAU
rnacentral:rRNA from 1 species